GAUGAACGCUGGCGGCGUGCUUAACACAUGCAAGUCGAACGGAAAGGCCGAAGCUUGCUUCGGUACUCGAGUGGCGAACGGGUGAGUAACACGUGGGUGAUCUGCCCUGUACUUCGGGAUAAGCUUGGGAAACCGGGUCUAAUACCGGAUAUGACGAUCUCUUGGAUGGGGUUGUGGAAAGCUUUUGCGGUAUGGGAUGAGCUCGCGGCCUAUCAGCUUGUUGGUGGGGUAAUGGCCUACCAAGGCGUCGACGGGUAGCCGGCCUGAGAGGGUGUACGGCCACAUUGGGACUGAGAUACGGCCCAGACUCCUACGGGAGGCAGCAGUGGGGAAUAUUGCACAAUGGGCGCAAGCCUGAUGCAGCGACGCCGCGUGGGGGAUGACGGCCUUCGGGUUGUAAACUCCUUUCGCAAUCGACGAAGCCUUUUGGUGACGGUAGGUUGAGAAGAAGCACCGGCUAACUACGUG
rnacentral:rRNA from 1 species